AGAGUUUGAUCCUGGCUCAGGAUGAACGCUAGCGGCAGGCCUAAUACAUGCAAGCCGAACGGCAAGUUUUGUAGCAAUACAAGACCUAGAGUGGCGUAAGGGUGCGUAACACGUAUGCAAUCUGCCCUGUACAGGAGGAUAGCUCGGGGAAACUCGAAUUAACACUCCAUAAUAUCACGAGGAGGCAUCUUUUUGUGAUUAAAACUGAGGUGGUACAGGAUGAGCAUGCGCAUGAUUAGCUAGUUGGCGGGGUAACGGCCCACCAAGGCGAUGAUCAUUAGGGGAACUGAGAGGUUGAUCCCCCACACUGGCACUGAGAUACGGGCCAGACUCCUACGGGAGGCAGCAGUAGGGAAUAUUGGACAAUGGGUGCGAGCCUGAUCCAGCCAUGCCGCGUGCAGGAAGAAGGCUUUCUGAGUUGUAAACUGCUUUUGCCAGAGGAUAAAAAGCCCAUGCGUGGGAAAUUGAAGGUACCUGGUGAAUAAGCCACGGCUAACUACGUGCCAGCAGCCGCGGUAAUACGUAGGUGGCAAGCGUUGUCCGGAUUUAUUGGGUUUAAAGGGUGCGUAGGCGGUUUUAUAAGUCAGUGGUGAAAUCCGGCAGCUCAACUGUCGAUGUGCCAUUGAUACUGUAGAACUUGAGUACUGAUGAGGUAGGCGGAAUUGACGGUGUAGCGGUGAAAUGCUUAGAUAUCGUCAAGAACACCGAUAGCGAAGGCAGCUUACUAAGCAGUAACUGACGCUGAGGCACGAAAGUGUGGGGAUCAAACAGGAUUAGAUACCCUGGUAGUCC
rnacentral:rRNA from 1 species